AUUUGUCCUCCACUGUUUGGCAGUGUAGCGUCUCCCAAACGCGGUAUGUUGUGUUCCCAGAAACCCCAUCGUGUGUGUACUAUUUGACAUCUCUUCCUGUUUCACAAGUUAAAGACUUUUUGAAGUAAAGAGGAGCAUCUCAUCUGAACCUGAAGUCUAUCAUGGAUAUUUAACUGCAGUUCUGUGAGUAUCCCAACUUAACCAUGAAGAUGAACUGCAAACUGUAAGUCAUACGUUUCUCAUUACUCUUGGGCACAUUGAUGUAUUUGGCUUCCUGGUGAGUUAACCCGUUACCUGAAGGUUGAUCUGCGUAGUAAGGAUGUUUUAUUGGUUCAUGGGUUACUUAGGUGUUUGGUUUAUGUUGGUUUUAAUGAUUUGUUAAAAUGGUUACAGGCUCCAAGUUAUUGUUGUAAGCUGGAGUAAUGGGUUGGGUUCUGAUGUCUUCAGUCUUCUCUCCAGCUACUCUCCUGAGCUCUGCAUCUUCAUCACUUGAGUGUUGCUUUACUAAUGAGGGUGUGGUCUGAGUGAGCGGAGGUGCAUCCUGGGAUACAGAGCUGUCUGAAUUCUACAGGUCUGUAGACACGCCCCCUCAGGGGAAACCGAGUGUUUGAGAAACCGUCAUGACGUCAGUUACAUGGACUAGAAUGUUCUUAAGAUGGAGACGGGGAUUCAGAAGGAGAAACACCAGGGGGAGAUGAGGGGGCUCCUCAUCUCAACAGCUAAAACACAACUUCAGUCUGACACAGAGAACCAUGGAACACAUUCAACAGUCCCCUCCAGACAUCGUGACUCCUCAGGAACAGUUUCAUUUCCAAGAAGGUCUUAAUUGGGGCCAUUCCAAGAUGGAUCCUGCUCCUCAAGAGCCACCCCCCUCCACUGGGUGGUCUUCUGAACAGAUGACCUCCUUCCUGUCCUCAGGCUGACUAAAGCUGCACCGUUACCAUCUGUGAAGGCCCCUCAUUCAGGAAACCACUGGACUACAAAGACAUGACUUCAGAGACGUUGAAUCAACCUCGGACACAUUUUGGAGACGCCAAGCAUAAUCCAUCACCAAUGUGGGACGCCACUGAAAAAUGUUGCACAUAAUUUACUUCUCUGGAGACAUCGGUGGUUCUGUUCUGGGUGCCCUGGCAGGAGAGCUGGGGUUGGGUGAUGGAACAUUAUUUGGCAUGAGGUUUUUACCCUGCAUGAUUGUUUAGCCUUUUAUGGCUCAGUGGUGUGUGUUUUUGGGUUUGACAUGAGAUGGAUGAUUUUUGACCAUCGCUAGGGUUCUACUGUGUGUGUCUCCCACUAACACCUGGCAUGGGGUUCUACCUGCGUGUCCUGUGUGUGUCCGGUUUGCUUUGACAGUGAUAAUGUUCAUACAGGGGUCUGUGAUUGGCUUGGGAUAUUGGAAUGGUCAACUAAAUCAUACCUGAUGGACGGCCACACGUUUACUUAAGGGCCUCCAGUAGACAUGAAGAGCCCAGAGCGACGCUGCGGAGCGAUAUCCAAUACACUGGGCAGGAAGGAGGGUAUCCAACUCAAGUGUAAAAGGAUGCAAGCGGCGUGUUCAGAUGAGUGACUUCAAACUAGGACUACACUAAUCAGGAUCAAUGGAGGAAGGACACCUAAAGGAAUUCCUAAAGGAGAGUGACGUUGGAAAGGGACCUAAAUGGAUAUUCAAGAUAAACUUCAGACCUGUAAUGAGACGGCUCUUCCUACCUGGCUGGAUUGAUGGAGAGACCUGUGGAUCUUGUCUUGCUCUCAGUUGCACGUCUUCUCAGGCUGAACUGUAUUUGUUUCGGACAGGACUAGCUGAACGAUUGGUUCCCUUAAAUCAGAACCAAUCUGGGAACUCCAACUAGUGCGCUCUUUGAGCUGAAGUUGUGCUCUUCGAGCUGAAGUUGUGCUCUUCAGCUGAAGCGGUAAGGAAACCUUCACUGGGGCUUCAAGGUGUAAAGAGGAGGAUGUUUCAAAGUGUUCCAUGGUACUCUGAUGAAGACCGUUGUGUUCCACUGGCUGAGAGGAAGAACCCUAGCAUCUUCCUCUUGGCCUUUCUUCUCUGAGAAUCCUGGCGCCAUCUUGAAGGAUAUUCCAGCUCAUGUAACUAAUGUCAAGACAGAUUCUCAAACACUUGGUUUCUCCUGAGGAGCGUGUCUAUAGAACUGAAGACUUUAGAAAGCACUGUAUCCCAGCAGGCAUCUCUGCUCACUCAGACCACACCCCCAUGAGUAGGAUGCAACAUUCUAGUGAUGGAGAUUUAGAGUUUCAUAAGUAACAAGGGAGCAGACAAAGGUCAUUAGAACACAAUGGCAUGUCCAGUCUGUAAAUCUUUAAACCAUGAAGAUGGUUGUAUAGUUCAGGAAUUGGGCUUCUUUUUAUUAUGGGCGGUCCUUUCACUCAGAUGCCCACUUCUCACUGGACCUGUUGGCUGGCUGGCAUGAUUUGCUGUUGGUGAUGAGGCGGUCAGGGUGACGUUGCAGGGCUAUGGUCGGCUCUCUGUGAGCUCAACGUUUAGAUUGCUCUGUAUGGUUUGUACCCUGAAUAAUCUAGAUAAUUGUAAAAUGUAGGCACGGUUUUGUAUUGAAUGAUUUUAGGUAUUAAGUUGUUGUCGGACGUACAUGGUAGUUUGGUUCUUCGUACGGUUUUGAGUGAUAUAACUUGUACACACUGGGUGCAUAAUAAUGUAAAGGUACACUGAAUAGUAGUAAUGACCAACAGCAACAAACUGAUCUCCUCAAGGUAAGUCUGUUGGCUGUGUUUUAAUGAAGACCAUCGCUGGACUUCAGGAUCUUCCUCCGUUCAGCUCAAGGUGAGGCGCUGGUUCUGUUUUUUUCUUUGGUUGGUUCCGGCUGGAAUGUUCGGAUUCCAGUCGGACUGUUUGUGCUUCCCGCCGUGGAAGGUUCUGAGUGCGGUCAUUUGAUUUAGUCCCAAUGGUUAGCAUAGAACGUUCAGGAUUGUAUUUGCGUAACCUCGAGCCGUUUGAUAUUAAAUACAUACUGACACGUACGUCGUACAAUAUGUUGAUAAUUUCCGAUGGUUGCGCCGUACUUUUAACCACGAUGACGUGACGGGACUCUCGCUGCGUACCAAACGGCGUUCUACUUGCGGGCCCAUUUUUUACAUCAGUGACGGAUGAAAAUCUUUUCAAGGCUGCAUUUCAACCAAACCCAGCACCUGAAUAAGGCUGAGUAUAUUUGAUUUAAUAUCGAUACUGCUUAGUGUUCUUUGUUACUUCAGCUUUUGUAUGUUCUAAUUAUCUGCUGUUAUUGAUUGCCACAGAAGUUAAACCCUACCAAAUGGAAUAACGUUAAACAACGACCUUGGUGCAGAGUUACCAACUGGAUAAUAUCAAAGCUAAAAUAAUGGCCGUCCUUCCCACAUGUUACAGUAGAAGAUACUCUAGAACUGUACAAGGUUAAAAAGGUAACAUGUAGUUUGUCCCAAGGUGUCUGCCUCCUCACCCAGAGCAAGACCUCCACCUCCUCACCCAGAGCCAGACCUCCACCUCCUGUCAGAAGUCCUCCAGAACAGCUGAAAGAUGAGGCUGAGAGGCUGGGGACCGGAGGCUUGUGGUGCCAGGAUGGACCAGAGACUGAGGCUGGAGACCAGGGGCCUGCAGCACCGGACCAGAGGGUAACCAUCACCAAGCUCAUCUGAAACACUAAAAUCCACGGUAGUUUAGGUCUGCUUUUGAUAAUCUUAUGACUUUAAAUCUGUGCCAAGCUGUGAUUUGAGUUAAUUCAUACGGGGGCUAUGUAAGAGUCAUAUGAGCCAUUAUUGUUACUAGUGCUGCUACGACCGUAGUGGAUGAAUUGCUGAACGCGACAAUCUGCAGACGUUGUCUAAUUUAAGUGUUUAAAUAUGUUUAAAUUUGUCUUCACUUUUACAAGUGAACUUCAGAUGCAGGUGGUGGGGUGUGUUGCGUCCCCAGGUGAUUUACUGCUGAGACCAGUGUUUGUUCCAGACCAGGACUCUGGCUGAGGUGAGCUGAUGGAGGAGCCAAGACUCUGGAGGACGACAUCACUCUGCCAACCAGGAUCCUCACCAGGAAUCUGGAGGACUGAUGGAGAAGCCGUACAUCUGGAAGGCAAAUCCUGAGGACAACCAGGACUCUACCAUCAAGGAUUCCUCAAACACCUGAGCUGAACCUCACCUGAUCCUGUUUGGUCGGGGGAAGACACACCUGAGCUGAACCCGCCCUGAUCCUGACAUCCUGCUGGUCCCGUCUCCUCAGUUCAUCUGCGCCUCAUCCUCCAGAAGACCUGCUGAGCUCAGCAGUCUGAGGCUGAUGUAUCAAUGACCUCCAGUGGGAGUGAUCUUCUUGACCCCACAUGUGAUUUACUGCUGAGACCAGUGUUUGUUCCAGACCAGGACUCUGGCUGAGGUGAGCUGAUGGAGGAGCCAAGACUCUGGAGGACGACAUCACUCUACCAACCAGGAUCCUCACCAGGAAUCUGGAGGACUGAUGGAGAAGCCGUACAUCUGGAAGGCAAAUCCUGAGGACAACCAGGACUCUACCAUCAAGGAUUCCUCAAACACCUGAGCUGAACCUCACCUGAUCCUGUUUGGUCGGGGGUAGACACACCUGAGCUGAACCCGCCCUGAUCCUGACAUCCUGCUGGUCCCGUCUCCUCAGUUCAUCUGCGCCUCAUCCUCCAGAAGACCUGCUGAGCUCAGCAGUCUGAGGCUAAUGUAUCAAUGACCUCCAGUGGGAGUGAUCUUCUUGACCCCACAUGUGAUUUACUGCUGAGACCAGUGUUUGUUCCAGACCAGGACUCUGGCUGAGGUGAGCUGAUGGAGGAGCCAAGACUCUGAAGGACGACAUCACUCUACCAACCAGGAUCCUCACCAGGAAUCUGGAGGACUGAUGGAGAAGCCGUACAUCUGGAAGGCAAAUCCUGAGGACAACCAGGACUCUACCAUCAAGGAUUCCUCGUUAGUGCAUUAUCUGGACAUAUUGGACUAGACACACCUGAGCUGAACCUCACCUGAUCCUGUUUGGUCGGGGGUAGACGCACCUGAGCUGAACCCGCCCUGAUCCUGACAUCCUGCUGAUCCCGUCUCCUCAGUUCAUCUGCGCCUCAUCCUCCAGAAGACCUGCUGAGCUCAGCAGUCUGAGGCUGAUGCAUCAAUGACCUCCAGUGGGAGUGAUCUUCUUGACCCCACAUGUAACGUGAUUCGACACGCCUUUCCCUCACGUCUUUCACUAACCUCACUACUUCACUACUCUCUACUGCUUCCUCUUCUUCCUUCUCUGUUGUUCGAACCUUUACACUGAAGGCGCGUCUUCCUGCCCUCUGAGGGUUCUGCGUUAGGGUUGAGAGUCAGGGUUUAGAGUCAGGGACAGAACUGGUCAGGGAGGACUGCUUUUACACAAACCUCUUCACCACCUUUCGGAAUGGUGGUGACAUUUUGAAAAGAUUCAUUUGGGAAAAUGUUUUCCUCUGCUUUCCUUUACAAAAUUGUAUUGAACUUCUGUCAAGUGUUUUUGUUUAUAUAUUAAAAUCCCACAUUGACUUCUACAUGUUUGGUGCGGUUAAUUUAAUUGUCCUUUAACUUGGUUAAUGUCAAGCUAAACUCCUGCAAUACAUUUAAUAUACAUGAUUGUUAUUCAGCAAUGUUCACAUAAUCCAUUUUGUAAAAAUAUUAAACCUUCAUAUUACUACAAAAUUCAAGC